rnacentral:rRNA from 1 species
GACGAACGCUGGCGGCGUGCUUAACACAUGCAAGUCGAACGGAAAGGCCCCCUUGUGGGGUACUCGAGUGGCGAACGGGUGAGUAACACGUGAGUAACCUACCCUUGACUUUGGGAUAACUUCAGGAAACUGGGGCUAAUACCGGAUAGGAGCUCCUGCUGCAUGGUGGGGGUUGGAAAGUUUCGGCGGUUGGGGAUGGACUCGCGGCUUAUCAGCUUAUUGGUGGGGUAGUGGCUCACCAAGGCUUUGACGGGUAGCCGGCCUGAGAGGGUGACCGGCCACAUUGGGACUGAGAUACGGCCCAGACUCCUACGGGAGGCAGCAGUGGGGAAUAUUGCACAAUGGGCGGAAGCCUGAUGCAGCAACGCCGCGUGCGGGAUGACGGCCUUCGGGUUGUAAACCGCUUUCGCCUGUGACGAAGCGUGAGUGACGGUAAUGGGUAAAGAAGCACCGGCUAACUACGUG